GGGAGGCAAGCCAGUAAAGAACAUCCCUCCAUGGCCUCUGCAUCAGCUCCUGUUUCCUGACCUGCUUGAGUUCCAGUCCUGGCUUCCUUGGUGAUGAACAGCAGUAUGGAAGUGUAAGCCGAAUAAACCCUUUCCUCCCCAACUUGCUUCUUGGUCAUGAUGUUUGUGCAGGAAUAGAAACCCUGACUAAGACAAAUUGGUACCAGCAGAGUGGGGUAUUCCUGUGACAAUCUGACCAUGUUUUGGGGAGGACUGUGGAAGGACUUUGGAACUUUGGGCUUGAAGAUCCAUCCGUUGUUAAGAGCUCUGUCGGAUGUCAUGUAGGAGCUUGGAAGAUAAUGUUGAGAACACUGCAGAAGAUGGAGCUCUGGUUUGUGAAAUUUCAGAGGAAAAAUUAAAGACUCUUUUCAGGGCCAUUGCUGUUUUGUUUGUGAAGAUUCUGUAGUUCUGGUUAGCUGGGGCUGAAGAAUCAGCUGUGAUUAACAAGAUACCAGAACUACCAAAGCAAAAACUUUGCAUUACUGGGACUAUUGAUGCUGGUUAGCUGGAGCUAAGAAAUUAGCGGUGAUUAAGAAGAGACCAGCAUCAUUGAGGUGACAUCUUCUGGGAAGUGUUUUCUGAAAGCACAAAGAGGCAGUGUUCCAGAGAUGGCCAAGGAUGUACUCCUGCUGCAGUGGGACUUGGUAAUAUGUAAGGGUCACCCAGGUGGUACUGGUUUUGAAGGCAUGAAGGGGUCACGCAAAGCAGCUGAGGUUCGGUACUGUGAGAGGCCAUGGAAGGCCAUUGGUGAAGGUGCAGCCUCAGUUGCAAUUGAAGGCCCAGGACUGAAGGGGUCAUGCAGUGUUUUGGAGAUGCCAGUACCAUGAGAUGACCACCAAGAGCAGCAGCAGCAGUGGGGUACAGGCAUCUGGAGCCUAGAGGACGAUGCGUGUGCUACAAAGGGCCUGGCUGGAGAAGUUACCCAAGCCCUUGGAGGAGCCCAGAAGAUCGUGAGUUGGAUCCCAGACAUUGGACGGUUGGAGAUUGACUUUUGCUUUUGAUUGUGACUGUGCCCUGAUAUUUUCCCUCUUGAAGGAAGAAACUGUUUUAGUGGAGCCCACAGUUAAGAGACUUUUAAUUGUAAAAAGACUUUGGAUUUUAAAAGAGAUGGAUAUUUUAAAGAGAUUGAAAUUUUAAGAAUAUGUAAAGGCUGUGGGACUUUUAAAGUUAUUUAGAUCUUGGGGAUGAAUAAGAUUGUAAGGGUUGAGGCUUACUAGUGAUGUUUUUGUGUGUCAAGUUGACAAGGGGUCAAUUGUACUGGCUAAUUUUGUGUCAACUUGACACAGCUGGAGUUAUCACAGAGAAAGGAGCUUCUGUUGAGGAAAUGCCUCCAUGAGAUCCAACUGUAAGGCAUUUUCUCAAUUAGUGAUCAAGGGGGAAAGGCCCCUUGUGGGUGAGACCAUCCCUGGCUGGUAGUCUUGGGUUUUAUAAGAGAGCAGGCUGAGCAAGCCAGGGGAGGCAAGCCAGUAAAGAACAUCCCUCCAUGGCCUCUGCAUCAGCUCCUGUUUCCUGACCUGCUUGAGUUCCAGUCCUGGCUUCCUUGGUGAUGAACAGCAGUAUGGAAGUGUAAGCCGAAUAAACCCUUUCCUCCCCAACUUGCUUCUUGGUCAUGAUGUUUGUGCAGGAAUAGAAACCCUGACUAAGACACUGGGGUUUACUAUCAAGACAGGCAAUAAACAGUUUUGACCUGAGGGCCUUUUUACUUGGUUACUUAUUUUUUAAAAUGCUGUUGUAGACUGCCUAUGACCCAGUAAACAGUAACUUCACACUCAUCAGCACAGGGGCAACCCUAAUCGGACUCAGUGACAGAAGAAGAAGAAGAAGAAGAAGAAGAAG
rnacentral:lncRNA from 1 species